GUAAAUUUAUAGCCUCAACGCGAUAUACAGUAUCUACAAAACGUUUGAAGAUAAGGAAUACUUUGUUCAAAGCGUCUAAAGUACAGAACUAUAAAACACAAAACCAGCUGGUACAGUGGAAAAUAUGAGUUCCUCAAUUCUAAAAAGAAGUUUAGAGCUAUUCAAUGAAGAAGACGACGUAGGAAGAGGUAUUAACGAUUUCAGUGAUGUAAAAAGUAAAGACAACAUUUUAGAUAAAGAAUAAGAAACAAAUUUAAGUCCUUAUAAAUGUUUGGUGCAGUCGAGAAAGUUAAUGCGGAUCUACCAACGUCCCUAUCUGUUCAACCAAAUUUUACAAUUUUCACAGCUUUCUAAAUAUUUUACCUCAAGUUUAACUUCAUAGAAACCAGGUAUAUCCUGAAUUAUACAUGUAUCAUGCAGCUUUCUACAUGCCAAUUCAUGGUCACCGAUUUGACUCAAAUUCUUAUAUUUGAUUUAUAACAAUGUAAAAUAUUUAUCCAAACUAUCAAAAGUCUAAAAUAAACAGUUUACAGAGCAUGGGGUAGAUAAUAUAUAGGUUCGUUUCGUGUGUAUUUUAGUCCAGCCGCCAUCUAAUUACCUAUCGAUUUGACCUUAGAUGACCAUAUUAUAAGCGAUGUAAACAUAAAUAAAGAUAUGAAUAGAUUAAACCAAAACGUGGAUUUGAUUUUUAUAGGUCUGUUUGAUUUUAUUUUAUAGAUUAAAAAUAGAUGUUUCUCAUUGUUUUGAACUGUAUAAGAAUGAUUUUAUGUGCAUAGAAUUAGUAAUCGAAUGAUUAACCAUAGUUUCACUUUCAUUGUUGACAUUCUUUUUCUUUAAAUAACCAGUACACGUACAAUGUAUGCGUUGUCAAUCUCUAGCUAGGGGUUAAAUUGAAGUUCACAUGAAUACGGAUUUAAAGAGGUCGACUCAUUCACUUGCAAGUGAAUUACUAAUUAUCAAUGUUUCUUAGCGUAAUUUGACAAAAUUGAACCUUUUUGGCUGCAAAAAGCGAAUUGUUAUUUCACUAUUUCACUUUCAUUAUUGAUUGAACAGACUAUAGUCAAACUUUAGAUUUUUUAUAUAUCUCGUAGCUAGUGCCCCUUUAAAAUCAUAUAAAAAAGAAAAGGUCUUCCGAAUAGUGGUACCACUAAAAAUAACCCCUGAUUUUCUGGAAACCUUAAAUUAGUGUACUAUGGAGUGCAUUAAUCCUCAAUUUUGAUUGCAAACUCAUAAACAAGUAAAUUUUAACUCAAAAUGGUCUUAAUAUAUUUCUCUUUCACCAAAAGUUUCAUUUCUGCCAAUUUGUUUGUUAGUUUAAAUAAACAAUGACAUCAAAUGCACUAUUUUUUGUCCGAGUAGGCCUACUUUCACAUAUGUUCUAAAUUUGAGGGAGUAAUUGGUGGUCUGACACCUUUUAGACCACCAAUUACUCCCUCAAAUUUAGAACGUAUGUUAAAGUAGCCCUAAUUUUUCAGAAAAAAAAGUGGGGGCAAACUGGCCUACUAUAGUCAUGCUUAAGUGAUUCCCUAUAUAAUCAACAAAAUUUUCCCAGAACAAAAGGGGGGGAUGGGCCUGAGGGCCCUGCACUCUCCCCAAAAUCACCGUUGAAAACGUUAAAAAUUAAAUAAGAAGUCAUAUAUACUAUAAUACUACUAGGGAUUUUAGUUGAAACAUCAUUUUUAAUGUACACAAACAAAAAAGCUACAUCAAGUCAUGUUUUUUUGUUAUAAGUCAAAGAAUUAAAUAAAAACUUUAUAAUUAGAUUAGUCUAGGUGGUCAUGUGGUCCAGAGCACUAGAAACAGUACUAGUGCAGCUGGUAUCUCAAAUUCAAAUCCUGGCAAGGGAAGAACCAAAAUUUGCAUUUGUAAAUUUGCAGAUUUAACAUUUUGUGCUGAUAUAUACAGUAUUAUAUAUUUCUAAAAAUAUAUUUAAAAGAAAAGCAUCCUGAGCACAUGAUACAUGUAUGCCUGUCACAGAAUAUAAGUUCCUUCAUAAUAUAAGUUCCAAAAGGAAAUAAUAUUCUGGAAUACUAUUUCCACAGAAAUAAAUAUUACAGUAUAUGUUCCUAACGGAAUAAAUAGUAUAGAAUAUUUGUUCCAACUGGAAUAGGUAUUAUGACAUUGUUUAUAACAAAGUUUCAAGUGGAACUUCUGUUAGGUGGAACAAAUGUACAUUGACAUGUGUCUGUCUGUCUGUUGUCUUUUAACUUGUUUUUAAUCCUUUCAAUGAAUAUAUAUUAUUCAUAUUAACCAGGAAAACUGUGAGCACUGCUCAAAUAACUCCCCUUCCACAAAAAAAACCCAAAAUGAUCCCCCUACACUCCCUCCCCCCCCCCCCAAAAAAAAAAAAAAACCAACAAAAAAACCCAAUAUGCACACACAGUGGUACCCAUUGACAACAGACAGACAAACAGACAACAGUAUACCAUAAUAUGAUAUGUGAACAGGUGUAUGAAAAUUAUGUUUCUUUGAUCGUACUAAAUAGUAACUAUGAAUCAACAAUUUUUUAGCAAAGAAGGGUGAAAUAGGGUUUAAAAGUUAUAAAACCAAACUUUUUGUAUCAAAACUAACCUCCCCCUUGUUUCAAAUACAAAGGCUUUGGACAUAUAUAUGUAUGAAGAAAGAGUACAGGAAAAUUGAAAACACAUCAUAAACACAGACAAGAAGCCUUUCAUUUAUAUUAUCUCCCUAUGUGUUCUUAAAAUUCCCAACCCUUACACCAUGUAUACAUUUAAUAAUUUUUCCCUUUAUUUAACCACUUAUGGUUGAAUUAUGUGUAUCUAAUAUCUUACAUAUGAGAUGAACCGAUGUUUGCUCAUAAUAUUUCAUUUUCCUCCACUGCGUUAUCAUGUGUCCAAAGACUUGGCAUUUGUUAGUUCCAGUAAAAAAAAAAGCCCAAUCCAGAUGACCUGAAAAAGGUCCUCCCUCCCCUUAGGCCCUCACACAAGUUUAUUAAAAAGUGUCUAUUAUCUGAGCUGAACAAUCACAUUAUAAUGUAUAUAUAUAUAUAUUUAUAUAUACGUCUACAUGUACCCAUAUCACAUCAGAUACAUUUGAAAUUUCAUUAUUUUACACUACACGACCUGAAAAUGAGAUUUCGUUUUCUGAAAAGAGACAUUGUAUUUUAUAAGUUUGUUAUCACUCUCACAAUAUUUUAUCAUAACUGCUCUAUGAUGUUUAAAGACACAUAAACACUAGAUACAAUAUCAAAUCCUGCUUCUGCUACUUUCUUGUCAGAGUAAGGUUUUCUUCACAUUAAAUAGCACAGAGCAGACCAGGGAGAAUCGUGGAUGAUAGGAACUGUUCAAAUUAUUCAAGAAUGAAUUAAUAUACGUUUUAAGUAAUGAAUAUAAUUAGUUUAUUAUCUAUUUUUGUUGGACAUUCUAGUAUUUCAGGAAACAGAAUUCAAUAAACUGUCAAUAAUAAUGAGUGUAACUCAAUGACAUAUUUGCCACUGUCUGCAAAUUUCAUUAGUAAAUCAGACUACAAAUAAUGCUGAGUUUGAUUGAUUGAUUGCAUCUUGCUUUGAUAUAUUUAUUGUUAAGUAACUCUGAGUUUAAAAUAAUUGAUUGAAAGUCUUAAGUUUGAAUAUUUUAUGGAAAACUGAUUGCUAUAUAUAAAAUACUAUUAAAUAGACAGAGAAAAAUGCUAUUAAUAAAUGACUAAAAAGGUAGGUAAUGCCAAAACACACAAUUUCAUGAAUUAAUAGCACUUAGCAAUAAUUUAUACCUCUUAAAAAACCAUUGGAUCUAUCAGGUUUUGAGAACUGCAUGUGUAUAUAUCAGUAUUUUCUCUUUAACAUGUUUAAUGAACAUGUAUCUGUCAAAGGGAAUGACUAUUAUGACUAUUGUCAAAAUAUUGUAAUUGAAGUUAAGUUUGACCGGUUUGAUGCCCUUAAAUAGUAGAUACUUAUAUAUUAGCCAGCCUGGUAAGCAGUUGAGUUACCUAUGUGCUUCUUUAGCUUAAUCAGAUUGUGAGGGCUGACUUGUAACAGAGGUCCCGUGUUAAUGUUUGGAAGGAAGCAAGGUCAUUUGUAACGUUCUAUGGUUACAUUCAUGAGUAUUGAAGUAAUACAACCGUAAUUGUCUGAAAUGCCUAUGUCCUAGUUUAAAAAAAUACAUUUUAACCAUUUACAUCUUCAAAAAUGACUUUGAUUUAACUAAAAAUUGUUCAACAAAAGUUCUCUUUAUAAAUCAGCUUUUAAAAGUAAGUUGCAGAAACUUGUGCGUAGUUUCAUAUUAUUUUGAAAAUAGAAAGUUUUAAAUCUGACAUGUUUUUCUGUUCCAAUGUUCCAGGUAAUCAAAAAAAGAUGACAAAAGCUUCAAGUACGCGGAAAAUAGAUUCUGAGAAAGGAAGGUACAAGAAAAAGACAAACACUAAAAAGAAAAGACAUAACAAAGAUGGUAAUUACAAUUUUCUUUCAUAUGUUUAUAUAAUUACAGAUAGGAUAAAGAAUGUAGUGUCAAAUAUACAUGAUUCUGUAUAAUUAAUGGUCAAGUAGAAAAAAUAUUUAGGUCAUGUAGUUAAGGUGGUACCUAACACUACAGGGAGAUAACUCUGUAAAAUCAGCUAAACGUUUUAAUAACGUUGUGUUGUUAAAGGGAUAUUUAGCUUCUCAAUGAUCAAAAUGAGUGUUUGUCAAACUGCUAUAUAACCAGCGUAAUUUUUCUGAUUAAACGGUUGGUUCAAAAUUUUUAAAAUUUUUAUAUUUUUGUCAAGGGGUCAAAGUAAAUACUUUGUCAAAAUUUUAAGAAAGUUAAACGAGCCAAAUUAAUCUUAGUUAAAGUGUUGGGUACCACCUUAAACGCUAUUUGAAGUACACUGAUUUUUGUCAAUCAGAACAUGUUAAUUAUGACAACCAAAUAGAUAUAGGAAGAUGUGGUGUGAGUGCCAACAAGACAACUCUCCAUCCAAAUAAAAAUUAAAAAAAGUAAACCAUUAUAGGUCAAUGUACGGCCUUCAACACGGAGCCUUGGCUCACACCGAAAGCCUACUUUCAGAAUAAAAAUAAAAACAUAUUUUAUUGACAAACUUGUAUAUGACAAGAUUUGAAAAUGACUAUGGUGACAUAUUAAAUUAUUGUCAUUUAUUUUUAUAUGACCCAUGAUGCAUACAUGUAUUUCACCAAUCAUCUUAAUCCCAGAUGCUUGAUGAUGAUAUUUACUGAAAUUCACAAACUGAUAAUAUGGAAAACUUUUAAUUUACCUUGGAAACACAGAUUUUUUUUCGUGUCCAGCUUUAAAUGAAAUUGUUUUAAAUUCGUAAAAGAUUAUACUCUAGAUAAGGAAAUUUUUUAAGUCACUUUAGAGUUAUAUUUUUAUGAAUGUAUUGAUGAAUACUUAAAGUCUAUCAGGAAAUAUAACAUGAUCCAUUGAUGAUUUUAAAAGUCAAUAAUCUCAUGCACUUGACACUAGCACUCUGCCACAAGAUUAUUGAGGGUCUUAUUUUGCAGAUUAAAUGAAAAACUUUAUAGCAACCCCAAUGAUGUAUCACAGAAACCCCUAAACAAGUUUAAAUGUAAUUUUAACAAAAUUUUGAGGGAACAAGUUGAGUUACUCUAAUUUUCAUUUUUAAAAUUGAGAAUUGAAAUGGAGAAUGUGUCAAAGAGACAACAAUACAACCAUAGAACAGACAAAAGCAGAAGGUCACCAACAGGUCUUCAAUGCAGCGAGAAAUUCCCGCACCCUAGGCGUCCUUCAGCUGGCCCCUAAACAAAUAUAUAUACUAGUUCAGUGAUAAUGAACGCCAUACUAAACUCCAAAUUGUACACAAGAAACUAAAAUUAAAAAUAAUACAAGACUAACAAAGGAUCUCCUUUUUUGGCUAAAACAGUACACUUUUAUUAUGAAGUUUCAUAAAAAUCACAUCCUAGAAUAGAGAAAUGAUAUGCACUACUUUUUUUUCAAAGGUCAUAAUAUAGGGAUGUUCGUCAUAUUUUCAACAUUUAUACGUCGCAAACUUCUUGAGAGCUUAAACUUAAAUUCAGUACAACUCCUCCCUUCACUCUCCAGCCGAUUUCAAUUUCACCA
rnacentral:lncRNA from 1 species